rnacentral:rRNA from 1 species
CGUAUCACCCAAGACAACUUUGCACAGUUGACGAUUGACGGAGCGGAGCGACGUCAAAGCGUUUUACAACGUUGAGUUGGCUUAGGGAUACGUUCGUUGGGUAGGGGAGCGUUCUGUAAGCCUGCGAAGGUGUGCUGUGAGGCAUGCUGGAGGUAUCAGAAGUGCGAAUGCUGACAUAAGUAACGAUAAAGCGGGUGAAAAGCCCGCUCGCCGGAAGACCAAGGGUUCCUGUCCAACGUUAAUCGGGGCAGGGUGAGUCGACCCCUAAGGCGAGGCCGAAAGGCGUAGUCGAUGGGAAACGGGUUAAUAUUCCCGUACUUGGUGUUACUGCGAAGGGGGGACGGAGAAGGCUAUGUUGGCCGGGCGACGGUUGUCCCGGUUUAAGCGUGUAGGUGUGUGUUCCAGGUAAAUCCGGUUCACUUUAACACUGAGGCGUGAUGACGAGGCACUACGGUGCUGAAGCAACAAAUGCCCUGCUUCCAGGAAAAGCCUCUAAGCAUCAGGUAACACGAAAUCGUACCC